rnacentral:lncRNA from 1 species
UAACAGAAAUUAACUACUAAAAUCUGAAUUCUAGGAAUGGGGGAAAAAAGACUUUAUGUCAUUAUAGAAAAGUCACCUACUUAUAAUUUUAGAUACAUAGCAACUUUAGAGUAAUAAAAUUUAUACAAUGUUCCUACACUAUCAGAGCUCCCAAGUGUUUCAAAAUACUCUAGUUCUUUUCAACUCUGAAAAUCACUAAAGUGGCAAUAAAUCUUGUGAAUGUUUUUUACUCUACAACACAUAAACUUAAAGCAUUUGCCUCCAAUCCUCAAUUCAUAUUAGAAAACUAUGAAAUUACUAAUCCCAAUUAUAGAUAUCAGGUUUGAGAAUCUUAUAUCAAACAAGGAUUUUCCAAGUGUUAUAAUCUAAUAGUAAGUGCUAAUUAUCAUUGUAUAUGAAAACUAGCAAUAAGUUAUUUAAAGUAGGCAAAUACUUGCUACCUUGUAAUUGGUUAACUGAACAAUUCUUUAUUCUGUUUUUUCAUACUGUAUUCACUAAAUUAAGUAGCAACUCAUUUUUAAAUAAAAAAAUUUGUCAAACAAUUCAAUAACAAUCUCUCAUUGAAAGAAACUGUUUUCAUCAGGUGGUCUUCUAUAAUUAAAAAUUAAAUGCUGGACUCUUAAGAAAAAAAACAGUAAUACACCACUUUUGUGUAAAUAAAUGAAAUUCACCCAGUCUAGUUUACUGAACUAUCUUAUAUCUUGGGGAAAAGAGCACCAUGCAAUAGCUUGAAUUCACUGAGAUUACAUGAGAAAUUCAAUAGUGAUAUAUUUCUGAUAAUAAUUGACAUAAUGUCAAAUCUUAGCAAAGGAACAGUUUCCUUCUGCCUUACUUUGUACUCUUUAAUAGAAUUAAAGAAAUGUCUCAAUUUGACAAUAUGAAGCAUAAACAAGUAGGACUAAUAUUUUGAAACUCUUAAGAGAUAUCAGGAUUUCAUACAGACAUCAAAAAAUUUUUUGUUAGAUAAGUAUAUCUAGCACAGAGUAUCUUCUAACAUACUCCUUAAAUUUUUUAAACUA